AAAUCUUUUUCUUUAAUUGCAAAUUAUAUUUUACUCUCACCAGUUAAAAAUAUACUAUAAAGAUAUUCCUCAAAUAGCACUUUAUAGGUUUUUUGUGGCUAUUGAACAGACAGACAAAACGUUACAAGCAUUCAGUCUACUGUGGAGCUUUUCCCUUACUGAUGUAAGCUAUUGUACGCUAUUGCUGUAAGCGGCAGUCCGAGAAAACAGAUUCAGAGCUUAACUACUCGUAGAAGUAAAUCUAACAGUCUGAUAAACAAACCUGA
rnacentral:lncRNA from 1 species